rnacentral:tRNA from 1 species
GUUAACGUAGCUUAACUCAAAGCAUAACACUGAAGAUGUUAAGAUGAGCCCUAGAAAGCUCCGUAGACA